CGAAACGUCAAGAGUUACCGAAUUAAAAAUCAUCUACUUUGUAGGGAGUGUCGCGCGAAGAACUAUUAGAAGUUUUCACGGAGCGUUUGAAUUCCCCAUUGCAUGAUGUUUUUGAGAAGUUUUCUCUUUGCCUCCCUGGCAUUCGUUGGUGUCAGAGCGUACGGGCAGGAUGAUUUCGGUUUCAACCUAGAAGAUGCAUUAAAUGAAGAUACAGCGAGACCACAAGAAGCUAAUGACUUUGAUCUUAACGACGCUUUCGAUGAAGACUCCCGUGUGCAAACAGGGCAGGAUGAUAUCAGUUUCAACCUAGAAGAUGCAUUAAAUGAAGAUCCUGUCAAACCACAAGGGCAGGAUAAUUUCGGUUUCAACCUAGAAGAUGCAUUAAAUGAAGAUACAGCGAGACCACAAGAAGCUAAUGACUUUGAUCUUAACGACGCUUUCGAUGAAGACUCCCGUGUGCAAACAGGGCAGGAUGAUAUCAGUUUCAACCUAGAAGAUGCAUUAAAUGAAGAUCCUGUCAAACCACAAGGGCAGGAUAAUUUCGGUUUCAACCUAGAAGAUGCAUUAAAUGAAGAUACAGCGAGACCACAAGAAGCUAAUGACUUUGAUCUUAACGACGCUUUCGAUGAAGACUCCCGUGUGCAAACAGGGCAGGAUGAUAUCAGUUUCAACCUAGAAGAUGCAUUAAAUGAAGAUCCUGUCAAACCACAAGGGCAGGAUGAUAUCAGUUUCAACCUAGAAGAUGCAUUAAAUGAAGAUCCUGUCAAACCACAAGGUAAUGACGAUGGAUUUGAUCUUAGCGAUGCUCUCCGAGAUGAUACAGCUGAGCCUCCAGCUGGUGAUUUUGAUGAUUCUGAUCUUGAACACGUCACUAAUAGUGAUUACAGGCCUGACAAGACCAAGUCUAAAGUCUUUCCAGAUCAGGACUCUCCAGCAGAGACCGACCUCUUCAGCAAACUCCUGAUGACCAUCCUAGACGGGACAUCAGAGCACUUCAAGAAGAUAUGCUUCAGUUUAAUGGAAAUGCUGAAAGAUCUGUAUAAUUCUCAGCAGGACUAGUGAGAAGAUGCUUGGGGUUAACAGGACAUAACUGGGGUGGUGAGGCAGUGAGCAUCCAUGCCUGAAUGUGCAAGAAGACCACUGCAAUACUUCUUUAUGGACUUUUAUAAUUGGGAGGGGUUACGGGAGCCUAAAGACACACAUUCAACAUUUUACAAGCAGCUUCUCCUCUGAAUGGACCAUGAAUAUGACCUCACUUUUUGCUCUCUCUUUUUGCGCAAUUUGGAUGCUGUUGUCUCUUCUAAGUUGAGCAAUUUCCUUGACAACUGCAGAGGGCAGAUAAAGAGAAGGAAAAUGGAGAACCAGUGAAGCAUUUAGUCCCAUCAACUUUCCUUGCCUUUCUACAUGAUCUCGGCCCGUGUGCUCUAGACGUCUAUUCCUCCUCUGCAGACAUUCCCUGUGGUCCUCAAUUCUUCAAUCGAUCAGCUGCAUUGUGGGUGAAAUGCAUUGUAGCGUGUUCUGAUGGAACUGUACUCAAGGCUCCGUUCUUUCAGUAACUUUGAAAAAGUAUUGGCAGUAUAUUUAACUUCACAGGAUUAUAAUAAAGUCAAAUGUA